AUCGAGCGCAACCCUUGUCCUUAGUUGCACUAUCAUUUAGUUGGGAACCUUCUAGGACGUACAACCGGAGGAAGGUGGGGAUGACGUCAAGUCAUCAUGGCCCUUACGGGUAGGGCUACACACGUGCUACAAUGGCCGGUACAAAGGGUCGCGAACCCGCGAGGGGGAGCCAAUCCGACAAAACCGAUCGUAUUGGAGUCUGCAACUCGACUCCAUGAAGUCGGAAUCGCUAGUAAUUCGCANNUCAGCUGCUGCGGUAA
rnacentral:rRNA from 1 species